rnacentral:lncRNA from 10 species
AUAGUGCGCAUGCUUGAGCCCACUUACCUAACACCUGAGAUCUUAUUGGGACGCUGCUGAUAACCAGUUUCAGAGACAGGGUUUCACCAUGUUGUACAGGCUAGUCUCCAACCCCUGGGCUUAAGCAAUCCUUCUGCCUCGGCCUCCCAAAGUGCUGGGAUUACAGUGUCUACAAUAAUUCCUGGCACCUAGUGGGCUCUCUAUAAGUAUUUUUGAGUGAUUGAAUUACGCAGCCAGGGAACUGAGCCUUUGCUGUUUAUUUUUGGCUCUGCAGAUAUUUUAUAUUAUUCAAGAUGCUCAAGCACUGAAUUGUCUUAAGAAAACAAGUAAGGUUUUGUCACCUAUCCUAUUUCUCACUGCAAGUUGAAAAAAAUCAAAUCCAAACACCACCACCCCUUCUAUGACAACAAACGGCUGUGGAGGUAAUCUUAUUUUCCUAAGGGUAGUUUCAUGAUGACAGUGUCAAAAAAUUACUGUGGAUAAAGAAAAAAUUGUCUCAAUGAAAUAGAAUUUUUCACUGAACACAGAAACCAUCUCAAUAGUUGCUGCUCCCUGGUUUCCAGGCCACGCAACAGACAUCAAACCAGGAAGCCAAACUUUCAUGGACCUGUGUUAAGAAAAACACACAUACAUGGGCAUACU